rnacentral:rRNA from 1 species
UCGGGCUGAAGACUCUACUUGACUAGCUGAGAGAGGUGCAUGGCCGUCGUCAGUUCGUACUGUGAAGCAUCCUGUUAAGUCAGGCAACGAGCGAGACCCACGCCAACAGUUGCCAGCUCGUCCUCCGGGGAUGGUGGGGACACUGUUGGGACCGCCUCUGCUAAAGAGGAGGAAGGAAUGGGCAACGGUAGGUCAGCAUGCCCCGAAUUAUCUGGGCUACACGCGGGCUACAAUGGGUGGGACAAUGGGUAUCGACACCGAAAGGUGAAGGCAAUCUCCUAAACCCAUCCGUAGUUCGGAUUGUGGGCUGCAACUCGCCCACAUGAAGCUGGAAUCUGUAGUAAUCGUGUCUCAAAAUGGCACGGUGAAUAUGUCCCUGCUCCUU